GACUCCGAGAGAGGGGCAAUGUCCGGAAGGUGGGGGAAGGGGGUAGAUAAACAGAGAAAGAAGGGCAGGCACAUAGAUAAGGGGCCAGAAACCAGACAGGGAAAGGAUAGAGACCUGGGGCGGAAGGGGACAGAGACCCAGAGGUAAAGAGAGGAUAAAGAUCCAGAGAGAAAAGAACAGAGACCGAGAGAGAGGAGGACAAGAAACUGGGAGGGCCAGGAAGCAGGGACAGAGAUGAAUGCAGAGAUGGCAGAGCUUUGCAGGCGGUGAGGUCAGUGUCUGUGAGGUUGGCUGCUGUCCAGGGCCGGCCUGGGGUCCUGGUGCCCAGAGUAGGUGGGUGCAAGUAGAUCAGGAUUCCCUGCGCGUCCCCCAGCCUGAGCCAUGGAGACCUGGGAAGAACUGCCUGGUGUGUCCUCGGUGCCCACCAAUUGCAAGGCCCCUCAGGAGAAGAUGUCAGCCCAGGACAGCUGCCUCAGCCUCAUCAAGUACCUCCUCUUCGUUUUCAACCUCUUCUUCUUCGUCCUAGGCAGCCUUAUUUUCUGCUUCGGCAUCUGGAUACUCAUCGACAAGACCAGCUUCGUGUCCUUUGUGGGCUUGUCCUUCAUGCCCUUGCAGAUCUGGUCCAAGGCCCUGGCCAUCUCAGGAAUCCUCACCAUGGGCCUUGCCCUCCUGGGCUGUGUGGGGGCCCUGAAGGAGUUCCGCUGCCUCCUGGGCCUGUAUUUUGGGACACUGCUGCUCCUGUUUGCCACACAGAUCACCCUGGGAAUCCUCAUCUCCACUCAGAAGGUCCAGCUGGAGCGGAAAGUGGAGAACGUCGUGCUGAAGACGAUCCAAACCUACCGCGCCCACCCGGAGGAGACGGCUGCGGAGGAGAGCUGGGACUACGUGCAGUUUCAGCUGCGCUGCUGCGGCUGGAACUCUCCUCAGGACUGGCUCCGUAUCCCCAGCCUGAGGAGCAACGAAUCGAGAGGGCAUCGCGUGCCCUGCUCCUGCUAUAACUCAUCGGCGACCAACGACUCCGCAAUCUUCGAUAAGAUCUCCUUCCCUCAGUUCAGCGGGCUCGGACAACUGGCGCGGCCCCGACACAAUGCAGACAUUUGCUUGGUCCCCGCGAACAGCUACAUCUACCGUGAGGGCUGCGCACGGAGCCUCCAGAAGUGGUUGCACAACAACCUCAUCUCCAUAGUGGGCAUUUGUCUCGGCGUGGGUCUACUUGAGGUGAGUGUGGCGGGGCUGAGCCUGCUACUACCACGCAGCAUGCUCCACCGGGAACGCCAGCCGCAGGUUCGAACUGCGGGCCCGGCCCGAGCACCGAUGGCAGCGGCAGGCGCUACGGUGUGCUGAGCAGCAGCGGGCGUAGAGGCAGUCUGUGGGUUGGCUGGGGCAUGGCGGUGCCUGCCCUAACUGGGGGGACAAGGCCCCGCAGGCUCAGCUUCAUGACGCUCUCCAUAUUCCUGUGCAGAAACCUGGACCACGUCUACGAUCGGCUAGCUCGGUACCGAUAGGCCCCGACCUUCCCGAAGCCCUGCCCCGCCCCCCUCAAGUGCCCUGGGCAUUUAGUUCCCUGUCGCCUGUAAAUAUUUGUUUAAUCCCCAGCUGGUCCCAGCCAUUGAGCCCUCAUUCCCCUCGGGGACCCAGAGGUCUGCCUGACCCGCUGUUGUCACCUCUCCCGGGGGACCUGGGGUUUCCGGCCACCAGCUUCCUGCCCCUAAAGACACCUCAUUUCUUUGCCUCUUCUGUCGGCCUACCACCUCCCACUAGAUUAUUUUUAGCCCAAACGCCAAAUAAAUCCCCUGCGUUUUGGUAAAA